UGGGGAAUUUUGGACAAUGGGCGCAAGCCUGAUCCAGCAAUGCCGCGUGCAGGAUGAAGGCCUUCGGGUUGUAAACUGCUUUUGUACGGAGCGAAAAGGUCUGCCCUAAUACGGUGGGCUCAUGACGGUACCGUAAGAAUAAGCACCGGCUAACUACGUGCCAGCAGCCGCGGUAAUACGUAGGGUGCAAGCGUUAAUCGGAAUUACUGGGCGUAAAGCGUGCGCAGGCGGUUAUGCAAGACAGAGGUGAAAUCCCCGGGCUCAACCUGGGACCUGCAUUUGUGACUGCAUCGCUGGAGUGCGGCAGAGGGGGAUGGAAUUCCGCGUGUAGCAGUGAAAUGCGUAGAUAUGCGGAGGAACACCGAUGGCGAAGGCAAUCCCCUGGACCUGUACUGACGCUCAUGCACGAAAGCGUGGGGAGCAAACA
rnacentral:rRNA from 1 species